rnacentral:rRNA from 3 species
GUUGACCUCGGAUCAAGUAGGGAUA